AUGCUACCCACUGCUGGCACACUUGCCUUGAUCACCUCGGUUUUAUAUGCUCUGCCUAUCUUACAGAUUUUUGCCAUUGAGCCCCCUAAGUGGGUGGUAUAAAAGUUUAACAAGGGCUGCAGAGGAUUCCUUUGGGCAAAUAAAGAUGAGGCAACUGGUGGCAAAUGUCUAGUCAAUUGGAAUCAGGUUUGCUUGCCCAAGAAACUUGGGGGGCUCGGAAUCCCAUGUUUAACGCAAAAGAGUGAGGCAAUGAGAUGCAGAUGGCUUUGGCUGUCGUGGAUGGAACCUGAUAGGGCUUGGCACGGCUUACCUCUACCAAUCAGCACCUUGGUCGGAGCUCUUUUGAGGCAUUGGUACAGUUUAACAUUGGAAACGGCGCCAACACAAAAUUCUGGAUUGACCCUUGGCAUCAAAGAGAAAGUUUCUCCAGAAGGUUCCCCGAGGUUUUCAACCGUUGCACGAUCAAAACAAUCUCCAUCAGAUGUGCCCUUGCUGAUGGAAAGUGGAUGA
rnacentral:rRNA from 1 species